AAUAUACUCCCUCCGUUCCGAAUUACUUGUCGCAGAAAUGGAUGUAUCUAGAACUAAAAAAUGUCUAGAUACAUCCAUUUCUAUGACAAGUAAUUCCGAACGGAGGGAGUACAUA
rnacentral:pre_miRNA from 1 species